ACUUUUAACAACAGAUCUCUUAGUUCUAGCAUUAAUAAAGAACGCAGCGAAAUGCGAUAAGUAGUAUAAAUUGUAGAAUUUAGUAAAUUAUUAAAUCUUUAAACGCAUAUUGCGCCCCUUAGUAUUCUAUAGGGCAUGCCUAUUUAAGCGUUAUUUGUACCCUUAAGCUCUACUUAGUGUUAGGUGUUUAUUCUACUUAGGACUUGCCUUAAAACAAUUAGCAGCUAGCAUAUUAGCCUAGAGCGCAGUAUAUUUUGCGCCUCUUAUUAUAGUUAUUAGUAUCUAUUAAGACACUUUUUAAGCUCUUAACCUUAGAUUAGGUAGGGAUACCCGCUAAACUUAAGCAUAUUAAUAGGUAGAGGAAAAGAAACUAAUAGGGAUUACCCUAGUAAUAGCAAGUAAAGCGGCAAUAGCUUAAAUUUAAAAUCUAGCUCUUUUAGGGUCUAAGUUGUAAUUUAUAGAGGGCGCUUUAGCGUUAGUAGUAGUCUAAGUUCCUUAGAAUAGGACGUUAUAGAGGGUAAGAAUCCUAUACGUAGUUGCUAGCCUUUGCUAUGUAAAGCCCCUUUAACAAGUUAAGUUGUUUAGGAAUGCAGCUCUAAAUAGGAGGUAAAUUUCUUCUAAAGCUAAAUACUAGCUAGAGACUAAUAGCGUAUAAGUAGAGUAAUUAAAAGAUAAAAAGUACUUUAGAAAGAGAGUUAAAUAGCACGUGAAAUUGUUAAAAGGGAAGCGCUUACAGCUAGACUUGCCUGUAGUUGCUUAUCUAGGCUUUUGUCUAGUGCACUCUUCUACAGGCAGGCUAGUAUUAGUUUAGGUAGUUAGAUAAAGGUCUCUGUUACGUACCUCCCUUUAGGGAGGCCUUAUAGGGGAGAUAACAUGCAACUAGCCUAGACUAAGGUCCGCGCAUCUGCUAGGAUACUAGCGUAAUAGCUAUAAGCGGCCUAUCUUAAAAUAUAGACUAAGGAGUCUAAUAUCUAUGCAAGUGUUUAGGUGUUAAGCCUAGACGCGUAAUAAAAGUGAAUAGAGGUAGGAACCCUUUUAGGGUGCACUAUUAACUAAUCCUAAUAUCUUUAGAAGGAUUUAAGUAAGAGUAUAGCUAUUAGGACCUAAAAGAUAGUAAACUAUACUUAAAUAGGGUAAAGCUAGAGGAAACUCUAGUAGAGGCUCGCAGCAGUUCUAACGUGUAAAUUAAUUGUUAAAUUUAGGUAUAGGGGUAAAAGACUAAUUAAACUAUCUAGUAGCUAGUUCCUACUAAAGUUUCCCUUAGGAUAGUAGUAACGUAUUUAGUUUUAUAAGGUAAAGCAAAUAAUUAGAGGCCUAGGGGUUAAAAUAACCUUUACCUAUUCUUAAACUUUAAAUAUAUAAGAAGUCCUUAUUACUUAAUUAAACGUGGACACUUAAAUAUACUAUUACUAGUAGGCUAUUUUUAGUAAGUAGAACUAGUAAUGCAGGAUAAACUAAACAUAGGGUUAAGGUGCUAGAAUGCACGCUUAUUAGAUACUACAAAAGGUGUUAGUUUAUCUAGACAGUAGGAUAGUAGCUAUAGAAGUUAGAAUCCGCUAAGGAGUGUGUAAUAACUUACCUGCUAAAUAAACUAGCCCUAAAAAUAGAUAGCGCUUAAUCGUGUUACCUAUACCCCGCUGCUAGGGCAAGAUUUAAGCCCUAGCAAGUAGGUAGGCGUAGAGGCUUGUAACAAAGCCUUAGGGGUAACCCUAGGUAGAAUAGCCUCUAGUGUAGAUCUUAGUGGUAGUAGCAAAUACUUAAAUAAGAACUUUAAGGACUAAAGUAGGAAAAGGUUCUGUAUAAAUAGCAGUUAGAUAUAGGUUAGUUAAUCCUAAGAGAUAGGGUAAUUCUAUUUUAAUAUUAGUGCUUACGCCACGCCCUUAAAAGGGAAGCUAGUUAAUAUUCUAGCACCUAGAUGUAGAUUCUCCGCGGCAACGCAACUAAGAGCGGAGACCUUAGCAAGAGCCCUAAGAAGAGUUCUCUUUUCUUCUUAAUAGUCUGUCACCCUAAAAUUAGUUUAUCUAGAGCUAGGGUUUAAUAGCUAAAAGAGUGCUGCACUUUUAUAGCGUUUAGUGCGCUCCUAAUAAGCCUUAAAAAUCUGCUUAAAGGAAUAGUUUUUACGCUAGGUUAUACUUAUAACUAUAGCAGGUCUCUAAGGUAAAAAGCCUCUAGUUAAUAGAAUAAUGUAGAUAAGGGAAGUUAGCAAAAUAGAUCUAUAACUUUAGGAAAAGGAUUAGCUCUAAGGGUUAGGUACGUUAGGCCUUAGGGAGAAGCCUCUAGCGUAGAAGGGCACUAACUGCAAGGUAGGCGCCUCUUAGCGCUAGGGUGCAGACACCCUUAGCAGGUUUUAGCUGUCUAGCGUACGUUUAACAACUAACUUAGAACUAGUAUAGAUAAGGGGAAUCUAACUAUCUAAUUAAAAUAUAGCAUUGUAAUAGCUAGAAAGUAGUAUUAAUAUAAUAUAAUUUCUACCUAGUGCUCUAAAUAUUAAAGCAAAGAGAUUUAACUAAGCGCAGGUAAAUAGCAGGAGUAACUAUAACUCUCUUAAGGUAGCUAAAUACCUUGUUAUCUAAUUAGUAACGUGCAUAAAUAGAUUAACAAGAUUCCUACUAUCCCUAUCUACUAUCUAGCAAAACUAUAGCUAAGGGAACAGGCUUAGCUAAAUUAGCAGGGAAAGAAGACCCUAUUAAGCUUAACUCUAGUUUAACAUUGUAAAAAGAUAUAAGGGGUGUAGAAUAGGUAGGAGCUUUAGCGCUAGUGAAAUACUACUACCCUUAUUAUUUUUUUACUUAUUUAAUAAAGCAGAGCUUAGCCUUACUACCUAACUUCUAGCGUUUAAGGUUCUUUAUAGGCUAAUCUAGGUUAAAGAUAUUAUUAGGUAGGGAGUUUAGCUAGGGCGGCAUAUCUAUUAAACUAUAACGCAGGUGUCCUAAGGGGGACUUAUAGAGAAUAGAAAUCUCUAGUAGAGUAAAAGGGCAAAAGUCCCCUUAAUUUUAAUUUUUAGUGUGAAUACAAACUAUAAAAGUGUAGCCUAUUAAUCCUUUAGUCCCUUAAAAUUUAAGGCUAGAGGUGCUAGAAAAGUUACUAUAGGGAUAACUAGCUUGUGGCAGCUAAGCGUUUAUAGCGACGUUGCUUUUUAAUCCUUUAAUAUUAGCUCUUCCUAUUAUACUAAAGUAGAAUUUAGUAAGCGUUAGAUUAUUCACCUACUAAUAAGGAACGUAAGCUAGGUUUAGACUGUUAUAAGACAGGUUAGUUUUACCCUACUAAUAACCUUGCCCUAAUAGUAAUACCGCUUAGUACGAGAGGAACUGCGGUUUUAGAUAAUUAGUUUUUGCGGCUAUCUAACUAGGUAUUGCUGCAAAGCUACUAUCUGCUAGAUUAUAGCUAAACGCCUCUAAGUUAGAAUCUAUGCUAGAAUAGGGUAAUUUCCGCCUAUACUAGUUAGAUACAAAUAGGCCUUUAGCCUAGAACCUUACUAGAUUACUAUUAGCAGCCCUAUUAAAGUUAGGGUUGUUAGCUAGUGUAUUGCAAUUGUAUAGUGCGUAGGAUUAAAUCCUUUAUAGAUAACUUAGUUAUCUAGCUAGGUCGUGUAAGUAGUUAAGUAGCCUUGUUGUUACGAGCUACUAAGCGUAAGCCUGUUGCUAGCUUAGUUAAAAUUAGGAUAUUAUGCCCUCCUUAUUUGCAAAACUGCUGCCUAAACGGCUAAUAUUAAUAGAAGGAAGAGGGCUAUAGCAAACAAGUUAUAUAGUAAUUGCAAGAUAGAGAGGGCUAGAGCUAGGAGCAAUCCUCGCAAAAUAUAUAAAAGAAUAGGUUAUGUGUGUACGUACCUUAGGCAGUUAAUAUAUAGCAUAGGAAGAUUAAGAAAGGAUUUAAGAUAAUCUAUAUAGAUUUUUAGGUAGUGAUCUAUAACUUAAGAGCGUUCUAUAACUUUUUAUUUUUUAGGGGUACUAUUCUAUAACUUUAUAGCCUUCUAUACUUGAAAAUUCCUCUAGGCUAUUCUAUAACUAUAGAUUAUUUAAACCUUUAGGGUAUUCUAUUAAUAUUUAAAAAAAUCCUGUAGGCUAUUCUAUAAGCUUAGGGCGUUCUAUAACUUUAGGGCGUUCUAUAACUUUAGGGCGUUCUAUAACUUUAGGGCGUUCUAUAACUUUAGGGCGUUCUAUAACUUUUUAUUUUUUAGGGUUAGUAUUCUAUAAUAUUAGAGUGUUCUAUAACUUUUUUUUUUUUAGAGGUAGUGUUCUAUAACUUUAGGGCGUUCUAUAACUUUAGGGCGUUCUACAACUUUUUAUUUUUUAGGGGUAGUGUUCUAUAACUUUAGGGCGUUCUAUAACUUUUUCUUUUUUAGAGGUAGUGUUCUAUAACUUUAGGGCGUUCUAUAACUUUUUCUUUUUUAGAGGUAGUGUUCUAUAACUUUAGAGCGUUCUAUAACUUUUUCUUUUUUAGAGGUAGUGUUCUAUAACUUUAGGGCGUUCUACAACUUUUUAUUUUUAGGGGUAGCGUUCUAUAACUUUAGGGCGUUCUAUAACUUUAGGGCCUUCUAUAAGCUUAGGGCGUUCUAUAACUUUAGGGCCUUCUAUAACUUUAGGGCGUUCUAUAACUUUUUAUUUUUUAGGGUUAGUGUUCUAUAACUUUAGCGCGUUCUAUACCUUUUAUUUAUUCUAUUACUUUAGUCCUUUCUAUAACUUUAGACUAUUCUAUACUAGUAGCUAUUAUAUCCUUUUUACAAUACUUAUUAUAUUAUACUAUUAUCUAUUAUUCUUUACUGUUAAGUAUAUCCUUAUAUUUUAUAAAACCUUUUCUCUACUAGCUAGUCCUACUAUACUUUCUUUUAUAACCUACUAGUAUUAAAUAAUACCUUUAUAUUCUUCUUUUAUACUAUCUCUAUUUCUUGCCUUAUCUAUUAAGUAGAUAUAGAUAGAGCUAAUAGAUCUAUAGUUAAUAUAGAUAUAGUAGUUAUAGUAGAGUAUAGAUAUUAGAGUAGAUAUCCUUAUCUAUAUAUUUACCUACUACUAAUAAAAUUCCAAGUUACUCUUAUCUAGCGAAUACAGGUUUAUAGUUUGUAUAGGGCUGCGCAUGUCUACACAGUUUUACAUACAAAAAAGUGUACCUCUAAGCUAUUUUCUGCUGCACUAACCCUAUAACGCGAAAAUUAAACCAAAACCCGUUCCUAUAAUAUAUAAGGAGGGCAAAUGGAUUCUUAGAUACUAAAUACCUAACUAACUAACUAAGGUUAAAUCUGCUGCGCGCAGUUCUUAGAUUAGGCUGUUAAACUAGCGUUGUUAGGCACUAGGGGGGCAAUUUUUGCUUGUGUCCGCGUCUAUACUCCCUAUAACUCCCUAUUAUUAGCGCUCUGCGCCUGUUUUAGUAGUAGUUAGACUAAAUUUAAAAGUUUUAGUUUUAUAAUAGCUAGCCUUGUUUCCUAGAUUUCUGCCUAGUUUAGAUUUGCUCUAAUUAGUAGGUAAUUAGGGGCUUAGAGAUUACUCUUCUACUUAACUAGGUAGGCCUAGGCCUAUAUGCUAAAGCAACCCUACUAUUGCGCCUAGUUUUGUAGUUAGCACCUAAAGUCCUACUAUUAAAGUUUUAGUAGUAGGCAAAAUUUAGGGUCUAUAGAUAGCUAGCACUGCUAAACUAUUUAACAGAUCUUAGGGGACAGCCCUGCCUAGCAUCUGCUCCUAGUAAGUGUGGCAAAGCGUAGGUUUUCUCUACUUAAGGCAUAUAUAUGGCGAGUUUAAACACGCAGAAACGCCUAUUAGGCUUUGUUACAGACUAUUCCUUAAGAAACUUAGUAGGGGCAAUUAAAUUAGUUACUAGUUGUAACUAGUGCCUUAUAUACUAUUAUGCUAGUAGCUAGAAUUGCUUCUGCGAUUUCUUAUUACGUACUUUCUGCCUCCUUUUAGGGGUAGUACUUGUGCGCUUUAGCGUAUUAGGUAUUAGGAUUAUUACCUAGUUAAUUCUGCUAGUAGUUAUAUACUUGU
rnacentral:rRNA from 1 species